rnacentral:rRNA from 1 species
GACGAACGCUGGCGGCGUGCUUAACACAUGCAAGUCGAACGGAAAGGCCCUGCUUUUGUGGGGUGCUCGAGUGGCGAACGGGUGAGUAACACGUGAGUAACCUGCCCUUGACUUUGGGAUAACUUCAGGAAACUGGGGCUAAUACCGGAUAGGAGCUCCUGCUGCAUGGUGGGGGUUGGAAAGUUUCGGCGGUUGGGGAUGGACUCGCGGCUUAUCAGCUUGUUGGUGGGGUAGUGGCUUACCAAGGCUUUGACGGGUAGCCGGCCUGAGAGGGUGACCGGCCACAUUGGGACUGAGAUACGGCCCAGACUCCUACGGGAGGCAGCAGUGGGGAAUAUUGCACAAUGGGCGGAAGCCUGAUGCAGCAACGCCGCGUGCGGGAUGACGGCCUUCGGGUUGUAAACCGCUUUCGCCUGUGACGAAGCGUGAGUGACGGUAAUGGGUAAAGAAGCACCGGCUA